UGCUGCCUGCAACAGAGCAGGAGGUGAGCUGGCAGCCGACUACACACCCACAUCAUAGAUGUGUACCACCUGAAACCAAGCAGGAGCGGAGCCUUCUGCCCCCUCUCCUCCACCGUGGAGCGUGUACUGCCUGAAACGGAGCAGGAGGCAAGGCAACAAACUCGUGUCUUUCCCCCUGUGUCUGCGAUUUUACUUUUACCUAAAAUUACAACUCAGUGACAUUCAAUGUAUAAUCUAUUCCUUUCUAUUGCAUUACCGUCUGCUGGCUCUCGGCAUUAAAUACAGCGGAAUAAACUCUUUGUCCAAGUAAUGGGCCUCGGUUGUUCCACCCAAAAGAACGUGGGGUGAUGACAGGCCCAGUACCUAGCGGUAAAGGACAUGCCAAUGCAUCAAGCUGCCCCACUCCAAACCCAUCUCUGAUCUCUGGAACCCAGUCUAGAACUGCGACUGAAGGCUGCAGGCCCUAGAGCCCAGAGCUCAGUUUAAUCCAACCAAAUACAUCUCAACACAAGUUACAGUCUACUGACAUGUACUGUAUGCCAGGCCUGAAGACAGAUGGAACUGCUAAGGGCACCAUGGCGAUGAUGACCAAACCUGACUGAAAUGCGACAGCAACUCAUUGCUGGACCCAGCUCAAACCAAAUCCCUGACUCUCUGCCCUUGGUGACUUAAGGCCUUCGUUUUCUCACCUGAAAGAUGAGGCCACAGCCUACUACCCAAAACCACAGUAAAGCAUCUUGGGAGCACAGUGGUACUUAACCUCCUUACACGACUUACUUACACUUUUAAUCCUCUUUCUGCAAAACCCAAAACCUAACUAGCCACAUUAGCAUCUCAUCAGGAGAAAGGCAACAGAGGACAUGGGUGUGAGGAGCGGAGCGCUGGUGUGGGUUUGGCGCUGCCUGGUUGGGUCACAGUGAAGAGUUUGCUGGGUGGCAGUGCUGAGACUGUGGAUCCUAGGCAUACACUCCGCCAGCCAUGAGUAAACUGGGGCAGCUCUCCAGCCAAUCAAAAGCUUUCUGGAAUAAAACCCAAAAAAGCCUGGUGUUGCUUACCAAGUGGCAUCUCCUUUAAACAAACACUUGACCAAAUCGGUUCCAACAGGCAUAAACAAGGACCUCUUUCCCAGAAGCUCUGGGACUCUCUGGCCCCUUUGUUCUCUUCACAACUCUCCCAGGCCCUAAAACUCAAAAUGCAUUUGCACAACUGUGCUGAGGGAGACAAACUUCCCUGAGAGAAGGGACCCUAUCCUUUUACUUCUCCAGGCUCCUCCCCAAGCUACUUCCUGAGUUCUUCAUUAAUGUCUUUAAUAAAGGCCGUCUCUUCAGUUUUCUGACUCCAAAAGAAAAAUAGAAGCUUUAUUAUGUAAAGUAUGGGAAGAAAAAGAACAAGAAAUAAAGGCCACAGCAUUGGGCCUCAUCCGGGAACUCUGAAUAUAGUACCAGGGAGCCAGGAACAGAGGACCCGGACAGAGAGAGGACGGGCUCCACACAAAGAGCCUGGCACUCUGAGGCCUGUCACAGGCACAGUCUCGCCUCUCUCUUCUCCCCCACACCGCCCCUCAGUCUCCUCUGUCUUUGUCUUUUGUCUUACACUUUUUCUUCUUUCUUGGCAGUAUAUUUAUCCAUUGAACCGCAUUGUAGGCCCUCACUCUGGAUAAAUGCCACUGUUAAGAAGACAAGACAUUUUCACACAGUGGGAAAAGUUCCCCACUGAGCAGAGAAGCAGCCGUGGAGAUGGAGAGACUGUGUGGGAGUGAGGCAUGAGCUCUGGGAAGGAUGAGCCAGGGAGAAGUUGCCAGGAAAGGCCUGAAAGGAGGACUGAGGCAGAAAGAGUCAUGUGGGGCAAUCAGGAGCUGGGUCCGACUUAGAAGCUGGCCUGUCUGGCUGAACCAAACCAGGAAGCACUCAGUGGGCCAAAUGAGGUCAAGAGGAUUGGGAAAGGGGCCUUAGGAACUGGCACCACAGCAAGAGACACAUCCAAUGGUCAGCGAUGAUAGACAGGUUAGCAGUGCCACCUGCAGUCAGUUCUCAACUCAGCAGCCAGACAAGACAAGACAUGGAGCCAGGAAGACACCUGCAAAUCAAGCAUCUGCAUAGCUGUGAAGGCUCAGAAUAAGGUCAACGUCGAUCCUGCAGGUUCCACGCUUGCAGAUUUAACCAAAUGCAUUCACAAGAUACUCAGGAGGAAAAAUAAAUAACAAUGCCUAUACUACACACAUGCAAAUUUUUCUUGUCAUCAUUCCUGAAGCAAUUGAGUAUGACAAUUAUUUAUGAAGAAUUUAUAGUGUAUUGGGCAUUAAACAUAAUUCAGACACUUCAAGGCUCUACACAGGUAUGUGCAAAUACUGCAUUAUUUUACAGAACUUAAACAUUCUGGGUUUAGGUGUCUAUAAAGAGCCCACAAAUUAAACAACAAAACAUCCUGAUUAAAAUAUCAGCAUAGUGGCCUGGAGAGAUGACUCAGAUCUCUUCCAAGGAACCUGAGUUCAGCUCCCAACAUGCACGUCAGGUUGCUCACAACAGCCUGAUCUGAUUAGCCACCUUCAGACAUGGAAUACUGUCACACAAAUAUACAUCAUACACAAAGAAAAUAAAAAUGUUUUUAAUCAGCAGAGGAGUUAAACAGACAUUCCCAACAGGUAUCGGUGUUCCUAAGGGACACAUAAGUCAGAGUUAUGAUAGCUACUAUCAACGGAGCAUGUGUACAUGAGAAUGUGGAGGAAUUAGACUACAGCAAGCAGAGGGGAGUGAAGGAUGCUUUAGAAAACAGUAUGACCAUCUAAAAGAAUAGCACAGGACCACCACUUCUGAACACCCCCAAAACAGAAGACAGAGCUCAAGGGGACAUUUUCACGUGUUCACAGAAGUAUUAUUCAGAAUAUUGAAAAGAUGAAGCAACCCAAAUGUCCACUGGCAGAUGAGCAGAUAAGGAAAACGAGGUAUACACCACAUUAUACCUAAAUGAGGCCUGACGUGUGUAACACCUCGUACAGGGUCACACAACUGAGUGUGCGGAGGUUCCAAAACUUUGGUAAUAGAUUUCUGAAAACACAAUGACAAAAUAUUACUUCCAAAUCAAGUGUGUAAUGGCUCUGCCACGUUCCCAAUGGCACGUGCCUAUGGUAUACCGCACAGCUCCACUGCAGCCUAGGUUCUGAACGCCAAUGCCUGUGCUGUGCGUGUCCACGUGCUGCAGAAACUCGGCAUCUCAGCUCACGUCUGAAACAACUGUCAGUUACCAACUCCAGGGUUUUAACUGUUCUGUUUAUAUAUACACUAAAGAAAGUUUUCAAAAUAACUCAUGAUCUAUUGUGUACCUAUUUUAUACACCCAUAUGCCCACCACCGUGUAAGUUUUCAGUUCUUAUACGAACAUAAUUGCUUAAUUCUAAAAAACAGACUUUUAAAUGUUCCUGUCAUUACUGAGCAUGCAUCAAACUAGUGUAUCUCUGAAUUAUAUUCACAUGCUACAUUUUAAAAAUUGCUGUUUUAGUUGCUGACCUCACUUUUUCUCUUUAUCUCUGUCUCUCUCUCUUACACACACACACACACACACACACACACACAAUUGUUCACUGACUUCUGGUUUAAAUUAGGAUAGAAUUUCCAACAGUUUGUGUAUGGCCCUAAACAUACUUCUACCAUAUACAAAAUGGCAUUCUUAGCACUAACAAUUAAAAUUUUUCUAAAAGGUUUAUUUUAUUUAUGUGUGUGCCUGUGGGAGCGGAAUGCAAACUUGUGCAUGUUUGCAGGCCUGAAGAGGGUAUUGGAUCACUCAGUGAUGGAGUUACAGGUAUUUGCAGAAUGCCCAGCAUUACAUAGGUGCUGGGAUCCAAGCUCUAAGCCCAACCCUGAGGACUGCAAGUUUGAAGCCAACCUCAACCACACAGCAAGUUCUAGAGAGUUCCAGGUACCCUAGGCUACAUGAUGAGACUGUUUCCAAAAGAAGGAAGGGAAGGUAGUCUGGCACUAAAAAAUAAAAUGCAAAGGUUGUUGCAAAGUCAAGAGCUUAAAAAACAAACAAACAAAAAACAAAACAAAACAAACAACAACAACAAAAAAACAGUGACAAUUUGUUGGUAAUGAUAGGAAAGAGCUCAAGGAAGGCUGCAAAACAACAAAAACUACUGAACUUUCUGCUUAAUUUUUAAAUGUACAUUUUAUCAUAAUUUAAAAAUAAAACACAAUUUAAAGUCCAAACAAAAUGAGUCAUGGUUCAUGAGACUCUGCUACUGAAAACGACUAUAGCCCCUCACUUAAGGCCUCCAGGGCACAGCAUCCGUCACAGACCUGCCUAACCUCCUAUGCCUCCACUUCACAGGCUCGGUCCCAUGUCUGUCCUCAUGGGGCAAGCCACAGGGCCUUCGUUCUUCCUGCUCCUAAUGCCUCUCCAGAGAUCCACACGUCUCAUCCCUUAAUGGCUGUCUUUAUUCAAGUGCCACCUCUUGGCUACCCUUUCUAAAAUCACACACCUGCCCGCACCCCAAUCACCUGCCAUGACCAUCUCUAUACUCUAAUAAUCGUUAUCUGGUACACUGGGUGCUUGUUUAUCUGGUUCACCAUCUUCUUGCCCACUGUGGCAUGGUGCCACGAAGAAAGACUUAUCUCUACUCCCAACUUAUACCUCCAGGCUAGAAGGGUCCAAGUUGCAGGACAGGUGCUCAAUACAAGUGAUUGCAGCUACAUUCACAAAGUGUUAAGGAUGAGCACACAAAUGGGAUUCACCAACAUUCUUGAAGCAGAAACUGUUCCAGCAAAGAGCUUCAGGCGGAAUCAACAGGAACAGGAAGGAGUUUGCCAAGGCACAGGUCUUGUGACAGCCCUGCCCAGAUGCAAACACCUAUAUCAAGCCCAAGGCAGCCCAGCUGCUGAGAAUACACACCAUUUUCUCUGGGCCUUCAUCUCUGCUGUCAACUACACCCUGGGCCCCAAGCAAGUCUCCCUGAACACACACCCAAGCUCAGAGUGUGGACACGGGUGCUCCGACCCUGCAGAAUUCUGCACCCUCCUAGGAGGACAAUCGGUAUGAAUGUGCAUGUGAUCUGUCUGAGGACCCUUCCUCUGAAACAUAGCACAGCCCAACUGGAGAUGUGCUAUGAAUGUCGUCACAAAAGCUCAAAAUCCAGUGGUGCCUCUCACAGGUGUGAAUCUUACAGUCGAGUUUGUAGAGUAUGAAGUUCCUAUAACCCAUAGGCUGAUAUGGCCUGACAUGUACUAGUGGUUGCUCAAUAAAAUGAGUCCUUGUUUUUAGUCACAUCGUAUCCUCAGAAGCAAGCUGUGAGUCUAGUUCAUAGCAAGUGCUUUGAAAAAAAAAAAAAAAAGAAGAAGAAAAAUGAGUGAGAACAAUGAACGAUGACUGGUUCCCUUGAGUUCCAUUGCCACAUUUCAAUGCAAAUAGGCAAGCCUGGCUCACCUCCCCUCUCGGAACAAAGGCCUGAGUCAGAGCUUUCAGCUCUACUUAGGAAGCAGGCCUGUUUCAGCUGCGCGAAUGCCAUCCCCUGGAACAACCAAGCUGUCUCAGGGAGCCAGACUUCAAAGCAAACCCAAGACUCAUCUCCACGAGCGCACAUCCUUAACCCUCCAACACCAUUUCUUCUUGGUAGCUGAGCCUGCCUUCUAGCUCUCCAGCCCAGAGUCUAGAGAAAAGAACAAGCAUUCAGAUCAUACUGGGAAGCCACCCCAUCUGCCUCCUGAAAGCAGAGGGCCUAGAAAGCCCAUCUGGUUUCCCAACUCAAGACAGCAAACCACUUCAUAAAACUCCCUUUUCUUUUUAUUUGUUUGCUUAGAACAGGUAGCCCAGAUCAGAAAACACUCCAUUCUCAAUGAAUAUUCAAGCAAGUCAUUUUACAUCAUUCAUUAACCUGAGUGCUCAUGUCCUAAGAAAGUCCACACUCAUCUCCAUAACCUCUGACUCUGGUCUCCAAGUUCUUAACCGUAGCUGACCAAUUGCUGCAUGUUAUAUAGCCAGCCCUGGGCAAAACAAUGAAGCCAAACAGCAACCUAACCAGGUAAAUAUGACUACCAUUUCUGCUUAGAUGAUUCAAAGCAAUGAAGACUCAGGCUCUGCAGGAAUUUACUUGAUGAAGACCACAGCUUAGAUGCAAGAGGAGGUCGGAGGCAAACCCAGAACUUGAGUCUUGGCCUGGGCCACUAAGAGGCCAGCAAGUUCACAGCAAAGCUUGGCUCUAUCUGCAUAAUAGCUGGCUAUUUCUUUUAUGUGUGUGCAUAAGUUUUGCCUACAUGUAUGUCUGUGUAUCUCGUAAGUACCUGUGCUCACAGAAGCCAGAAUAGGGCCUCAGCUCCCCUGAAACCAGAAAUAGAGGCAGUUUUACACGCUGAGAACCAAACCUGAGCAGCAACUGCUCUUAACUGCUGUGCCAUCUCCCUAGCUGGUUAUUUCUUGAUCAACUCUUAUGAGUCUGUGUAAACUGGCCUCUACCAGCCAACUUCCCAGGGUUCUAUAUGAACAGCAUGUAGGUACAAGGCCUGUGGGACCAAGUCUUAGCAAGCAUGACCUAUAGAAACAAAGACCUCACCCACACUGGAGGGAAGAAGAGUGGCUCCCCAGAGACCACCUCCUCACAGACAGCCGUUGGAUGGCUAUAUCCAUCUACUCAUGGAGCCAGUGAAGCUGCAGAAGGACACACAUACAUUUUUACCAAAGGCAAGGACAGUGCAAGUCAGGGGACAGCGAUGGCCUCAUCAAAAGAACACUCACAAAGCCAGUGAUUCUGCAGUCAGGAAUUUUGGGUAGCGGGUGGCAGCCUGGUCACGUGGCACUCAAUUCCAUCUAGUGUCAGUUUACCCCUAGGACUACCCUCUGCGGUAAGGAAAACUUAAUGCAGCAGAAGUCUAUUAAAGCAACACCUGCUAAAGGCUUCAAAAAUAAUAUCAGUCUUCAAAGGAAGAGGGUAGGCAUGAUAAUCUCCCUCCACUUGGCCACAUUUUCAGAGCUGAUGUUAAAUUAGACAGUAAGACAAACGGAGGCAGGCGAAACCAGCACUUAAGACUUCUUAUCAUGAGCGUUUGUCCCACUACACCCUGUGAAAGCCUGGUUCACGAUGUCCCCUUAGUAGUGGAAGAGAUCUUCUGUCAGAGAUCACAGCCAGGAGGAAAGGGCGAGUGGAUCAAAGACACAGGCACACGAAGGUCGAGCGCCAAUUUCUGGUGCUUGAAAUCAUGCACCUCUUGUCUCUAUCAGCAAACUUACUCUAUAAGAGGCCAAGUGGUGAAUAACUUAAGUUUUGUGGGCCAUGUGGUCUUUGUCACAACUAUUUAAACUCUGCUUCUAUAGUGUCCAAGUUGCAUAGACAAUAAAAAAUCAGCACGGCUAUAGUCCACUUAAACAUUACUUACAGAAACAAGCAGCAGACCAGGACUAGCCAUGUGCUAUUAUUUGCCACCUUCUUGAUAGCAGACCAAUCAACUUCAGUUUCUAGGAGAAAAUGUAAUUCUAGGUCUGGUACAGUUUUGUAGCUGUGUGUAAAUCUCCUCUCUCUACCUGAGUUAGCUACCUGCAAAACUGGGCAAAACAUCCCUCUGCAGAGAAACCCUCCCUUUCUUCCUCCGCCCAUGUUGGACAUCAUUAGUUGUACUCUUUACUGUCUUUUCUAGCUUUUCAGAAGUAACCUAGGUUAGUUACAUCCUGGACCCAAUGGAAAAGUUAGGCAAUGAGGCUACCGUGGAGCAUACAGAGAGCCACAGCGUACAUCUCUAAAAUUCUCCCAACUAUUCGGAAGCUGACUGAAUUUGGCCGGCUCACUAGUCCUCACAUCCAAUCCUUGAUGACCUUUAGUUCUUUCAAACCUUUGUGAUGACAGGUCAUUCCUUGAUUGUGGACGCUUAACAAGCAAUACAAAAUCCUCCAUAAUUUUAAAUCACUAAAGUUAGCAAAAUCCAAAUUACAACUCUUUGCUUGAACCUCAAAGAAAACAGUUUUACAAAAUCUAGACGUGAACAGGAAAAAACUGUAACAUACCUAGCCUUCCUUCAGCUUUUUCCCCUCCAGCCUGCCAUUCCCACAGCUACCCUGGGAGAUGGUUAGUCAGACCCUCCACCAGGACAGCUCUUCCUACCUGGAUUCUAAGACUCUGGGAUUCUAAGACUCUUCCAGGUAGCACACAGCCCGCUGCUCACCCAUAGCAGGCACUCAAAGUCUGGUCAAACAACUGAAGGCAUCCACCCAACCACAGGUGCCAUGGGAAACUACAGUCUAGCUUAACACAUCAUACAUGCAACUGCUACAAUGUGAGAUAACCGGAGAUUCUCACUGAGAGUAGGACAGCAGCACUGAGUGGCCCUCAUGCUACUUUGGGAGGUGUUUGCAUUCAAACGCCUCAUGAUGUAAACCACACCAAAACCACAAUGCAGAUGAUGAGUUCAAAAGAACAAGCUGCCCCUGCACAGGCCACAUUAUACUAGCAGCUAUUAUUUAUAAACAUUUUUACAAUGCAGAAGUCACAGAGACUUUUAUGCAUAAGUUAUACAUGCGGAGUUCAGUGUAUUUUUAUAAAAAGCACAUAUACAACCCACAUGAUCAUCACCCAGAAGACAGAAAACUGCCACGUCCUGACAUUCUCUUAGCUGUUAUUCUUCUCAAACCAAACCUAUAAUUUCUUCCAACCAUGAAUAAUUGUGCCUAUUUGUAUGCUUUAUAUACAUAAAAUUAUUCUGCAUAAACUUUUCUAUUUUUGGCUACUUUCACUCACAUUUUGAGAUCCACUCAGACUGUUCUUUUUUACUAAAAAAAAGGGAGAAUGUGUGUGUGUGUGUGUGUGUGUAACAGUCUAAGUAUGUAGCCUAGGCUGGCACUAGUCUCCAUCCCUACUGCAGCACGGUAUCUCUACUGAAAGAAAAAACAUUUUCUUUCCUUCCCCCCCCCCCCAUUCUAUUUUUUAAGCAGCACUGAAAUAUUUCCAGCUGGGACUAUUAUGAAAAUCAUAACCGUGAACACAGGUAGAGGUGUUCUUCCUGAAAAUGUCUGUGUACAUAUGUGCAGUGCCUGUGGAGAACAGAAGAGGACAUAGGAGCUCCUGAGCCUGGAAUUACAGUGUUCAGCUGACAGCUGGGUGCUGGGAAGUGAAUGUUGGUCCUCUGGAAGAACAGCCAGAGCUCAUAACUGCUGAGCCAUCUCUGUAGCCCCAGUGGGACCUACUCUCUAACUGGAAAUGCCUAGGUAAAGAGUAUGCAUGGGCAUAACCGUCACUGCUUCGCUACCUGUACAACACACCCACAUGAGGAUUCCGGGAACUGAGCUAUAUGGAGUGCCUUAGGAAAAGACCUAAGCCAGUUGUCACUGAGAUUCUCACAGGACCCUCCUAGCAGCCUCACAGCAGACGCAGAAGCCUUAAUGUACAACUCCUGAGUCCACCAUGAACCAUGCCGUGCCCUACUGCUUUUCUUUUCUUGUUUAACCUGAAAACUGCAAGGAGAAAGCAAACUGAGGCAAGCUUUACUUUACAGGUGCAUCAGGACUGGCCAGUCACUGUCUCACCCUAAGUCAGAGUUUUACAGAGCAGCACUGGAUAUGAGGAAGACAUGGUUUUCAUAACUCAGGAGUUAGGGGUUUCCAAAUAGGGGAUCUUGUGGAGCAAAAUAGGUGGGAUUACAGGAGCAGAACAUAAGCAUAACAAGAAAGUCAUAAUGACCUCCUGAAAGACAUGAUUGCAAGGUGGUAGUAAUAGCAGGCAGUCAUAACAAGGAAGCCAUAAAAACCCUUUAAAACAAAGUAGGGCUGCAAGAGGGUAUGAGCUUUUUGAAAGAAAGACAUGAUUGCUUUUCCUGGAACACAGUACAGCACUGAGCAGAGACAAGAAGACCCAUUAAGAGCAAGGAAAGAACCACAUGUCUCGCCAACACCCCUUUAUAACUUUCACAUGAAACAAAGAGGUGCUCUUUGAGACUUAGGUGAGCACAAGGCUCUAACAGAUACCAGCAGCAGAUAAUUAGUAGUAGGGUAAGUGGUAUUAAAAAUGACUCUUGCCCUGGGGGUGGGGGCAGGCUGCAGCAGCCACCAGUGCUCUGCUCUUCAGGUAGCAGUACAUCUCCUACCACAAGAGUGCUCCUUGUCUCCUUCCCUCCCUAGUAACUUGGAAAGUCAGCUGGAGAGCCCCAAGUAAGUCCCCAAUAACAAACUCGGCAGCAACAAAUUGAUAAUGACCAUGGGUCUCAAGAACAGACAGCACAUCCAUGGUACGUCCACUUAUUGUCUCCUGCCACUUGACUCUCCUUAGUGACUGUUUGGAGCCCAUUAUUCCAGACAGACAGAUGCCUGUUACCACACAGGUGAUACUCGGAAAUGUCUGACUUAUUGUCUUCCAAAGUUCAAUGGGCUUUAGAUACAUGGAGGACACAUGAGCCCUGGGGCUUCUCUCCCAUACCUCAUAGGCAGUGGUCCUCCAUGACUGGACAACAAACAGCACCUUGGAAGACAUAAUUCUCCUAUCCCAAACAAACUGCUGAAUCAGAGCAGGGCAGCCAGCUCUCAACACCCUUGAUGACUGGUAAAUGGUACACCAACAAGAAGAGCAGCUACAGCCACCUCAACUGUGCAUACACCUACACAGCCAGUUCAUACAGCGGUAAAGAUGAGCCUACCAUCUGACAGUAACCGUCAGCCUUUAAAGACACCCAUUACUUCAUCCUUCCUGGGAUAAACACCAUGUGCUGAAGGUGUUUUUACAUGAACUCUUUAUUAUGUCUGCAAAUACUCGCCUUUUAGGCGAUGCACUCACAGAAGUUUGAAAGGCAGCUAAGGAAAGUCACGCUUGCAUCUCAGGUGACACUCCUGUCCCAAUGCAUACACAGCACUUCAAGAACAUUAGCAACUGAGUUCCAUAUCCAGCAAAGUUAUACCUGUGACUGUGAACUACAACCUGCCUCUAAAAACAUAAUACACAACAACAGCAAAAAAAAAAAAAAAAAAGAAUAUUAGCAACCAAUUCUCACUCAGCCUACAUUCACCUGUGUUUCAAGCCAAAUUACUGAUGGUCUUAGCUUAGGUCCAAAGCUGAAUGAAAUCCCUGUCUCCUUGGCUUCCAGGCACAUACUCAUGGAGUGGGUGGAGAGUGUCUGCAGAUCACAACUCUUUGGCCUUCAAGGUUUGCUUUUCAAUUCCACUUUCAUUAUGAACUGAUUUCUGCACUAGCUGUUCUUCCAGAGGAUCUGGAUUUGAUUUCCAGAACCCACAUAGCUGCUUACAACCACUUACAGCUCCAGUUUCAAAAGAUGUGAUGCCGUCUUCUGGCCUCUGUGAGCACCAGGAAUGGGGACAUAACAACCAUACAUGUAAACUAUGAUGAUGAGGAUGAUGAUGAUGAUGAUGAUGAUGAUGAUGAUGAUGACUGUUUGAGAAAUAUUUCCAAAUAACAACAUAAAACUAGGAAUAGCAAUAUUACAAAGUCACAAACAACUGUAACUAACUGCUGCUCAGGUGUCCCGACUAUCCAGGUCACAGGCUAAGAAAUAUAAAGAGCACGGCCUGGUGACAGGUAAGGUCUGAAACGUUUCACAUCUGGAGGAGUACAGCAGCCCCUAAAAGGAUCAUGCGAGAAGCACAAUGCAGCCGAUGCCAGAGAGAGUCAAGCAAUGCUCCCUGGACUGAAAGGGGAAGCACUUCCACUGUUCAAUAGCCCAAGUACAGCAAUGCUGGAGGGAAAGUGCAAGUCUUCGACAGAAAUGGUACUGAUUUGUCAGACAAAAUUACUGUUGCUGUGCAAAUCAAAAACCGGGUUCCCUGAACUUAAGAAAGAAAAAAAAAAUUAACUCGAACAUAAAAAUCUGGCAGACUCUGUUCCUUUUUAACAAAAGCCUGUUUCUUUUUGUGAGAUAUAUUUUUACAAAAUGAGCUCCCUCACUCCGACCCAAUCCUAUUAAAAGCUUUCUUUGGGUUUUCAUGCUUUCUGUUAUUAAGGACAAAUGGCUUCAGCAUUAUCAUCAACACUAAUGCAAAUAAAACUGUUCUUUGACAAAUACUUUAGUUGAAUCAGAUCCCUUCCACCAGAAAGCAAAAACCAAUUGAAAUCCUGCUGGAUCAAUAGAGCUGGCCGAGCUGGCCCUGCUGGUGUGGGUGCAGGUAAGCCAGCCUGAGGGCAAGAGAGCUGGCUCUGCCCCUUGCUGGCUGCUCACUGGAAUGCACUAGCUGGGGCAGCGCUGGAGAGCUCACCCUGGUGGUAUGGGUACCGGAGAGCUUCAGGAUGACCAUCCAGGCCCAGAUUCAGGGCUCCGAGAUGGCCCACCCAACAUCUACCCCAUCUAUGAACUACUGGAGCACAUGAAAGGGCCGAUCCUUAAGAUCCAAAGCUGCAGGGCAACAACAGGAUAUCUGAGUAGUUCGAGAAUCCAGUAUUGAUAGUAUAGCAGAAGCAGAGGCCUUCAGAUGAACAUUUGCACUCAAAGAAGUAUAAGCAAACGGGUAUCCUGGGAGACACACUGUGACACCCUACAGCUUCCACAAGGAGAUUUUUUUUUUCCUUUUGGUGGGGAGAGGUUGUAAGUGCAGAAGUCAGAUACAAAGGGAUGGGGAUAUGAGUGGGAUUGGGGUGCAUGAUGUGAAAUCCACAAAGAAUCAAUAAAAGGCUAAAUAAAAGAAAGAGAGAGUGUGCUGAUGAUCCCAGCUCCUCAAACGCUUUUAUGAUGCCCUGAUAUUAAACACACACACACAAAAAAACUGAACCUUCUCCAGGAGGGCUUCCCAAGGCUGAC